AGCUGAAGCUGGGAGCUGGACUGCACGGGGCUCGGUGAAUCAGGGAUUUUGUCUGCUGGCCAAAAUGCAACAUGCCCCAGGAUGCUGGGAGAUAACACUGGGGAAAUCCCACGUGAAGGUGAAUCUCUUCUCACCUAGGCCUUACCCAUAGCCCACCCUGAUUAGGAAAUGCUGAUUUGAGCAGUUGGCACCCAAGCAUUCCUCCUCCCACCUCCCUCUUCCCUCUCAAAUGGCUGUGGGAACCAACAUCUCAUUUUCUCUUAUUAUUUCUUCAUCAUUGACGCAAGAAGUCCGAAAUAAAAGGUGAGCAACAAA